ACAGUAGGAUAUAGGACAGAUGCUGGCUGAACAGUAGGAUAUAGGACAGAUAUAGCCUCUGAACAGUAGGAUAUAGGACAGAUAUAGCCUCUGAACAGUAGGAUAUAGGACAGAUGCUGGCUGAACAGUAGAAUAUAGGACAGAUAUAGCCUCUGAACAGUAGGAUAUAGGACAGAUAUAGGCUCUGAACAGUAGGAUAUAGGACAGAUAUAGCCUCUGAACAGUGUAUGUUCCAUACUGCAUGUAUUAUAGUGGAUUUGUUUGCUGACUUCACAAAAUAAAUGUCCAUGUAAAUGGGCUAGGUCUAAAUGUCAAUGUAAAUGGGCUAGGUCUAAAUGGGCUAGGUCUAAAUGGGCUAGGUCUAAAUGUCGGUGUAAAUGGGCUAGGUCUAAAUGGGCUAGGUCUAAAUGUCCAUGUAAAUGGGCUAAGUCUAAAUGGGCUAGGUCUAAAUGUCGGUGUAAAUGGGCUAGGUCUAAAUGUCCAUGUAAAUGGGCUAAGUCUAAAUGUCGGUGUAAAUGGGCUAAGUCUUAAUGUCGGUGUAAAUGGGCUAAGUCUACUGUAUUUUGUAUAUCGUACUUUGCUCUCAUUUUGAGAGAAAUAAAAUCCAGUUCGAUUCCCAACUCAGUAACUCAGAUCAGCUUUAAUAUUGAACAUAGAUUGUAACUCAGACCUUGGGGGAAGAUCAGCUUUAAUAUUGAACAUAGAUUGUAACUCAGGCCUUGGGGAAGUUCUGCUUUAAUAUUGAACAUAGAUUGUUGAUUCCAUCAAUGUAAUUGUCUGC
ensembl:lncRNA